UUGGGGAUCGUCUCAGUGUGGGACAUCAGAUUCUGAAUUUGAGAGUGAGGGGUCGAAUCCUUCUCCCCCAGCCA
rnacentral:tRNA from 1 species